rnacentral:rRNA from 1 species
GUCGACGGUGAAGCGGGUGCUUGCACUCGUGGAUCAGUGGCGAACGGGUGAGUAACACGUGAGUAACCUGCCCUCCACUCUGGGAUAAGCGCUGGAAACGGCGUCUAAUACUGGAUACGACCAAUCCCUGCAUGGGGUGUUGGUGGAAAGAUUUAUCGGUGGUGGAUGGACUCGCGGCCUAUCAGCUUGUUGGUGGGGUAAUGGCCUACCAAGGCGACGACGGGUAGCCGGCCUGAGAGGGCGACCGGCCACACUGGGACUGAGACACGGCCCAGACUCCUACGGGAGGCAGCAGUGGGGAAUAUUGCACAAUGGGCGAAAGCCUGAUGCAGCGACGCCGCGUGAGGGAUGACGGCCUUCGGGUUGUAAACCUCUUUCAGCAGGGAAGAAGCUUUUGUGACGGUACCUGCAGAAGAAGCACCGGCUAACUACGUGCCAGCAGCCGCGGUAAUACGUAGGGUGCGAGCGUUGUCCGGAAUUAUUGGGCGUAAAGAGCUUGUAGGCGGUUUGUCGCGUCUGCUGUGAAAAUUCAGGGCUUAACCCUGGACGUGCAGUGGGUACGGGCAGACUAGAGUAUGGUAGGGGAGACUGGAAUUCCUGGUGUAGCGGUGGAAUGCGCAGAUAUCAGGAGGAACACCGAUGGCGAAGGCAGGUCUCUGGGCCAUUACUGACGCUGAGAAGCGAAAGCAUGGGGAGCGAACAGGAUUAGAUACCCUGGUAGUCCAUGCCGUAAACGUUGGGCGCUAGGCGUGGGUCUCAUUCCACGAGAUCCGUGUCGCAGCUAACGCAUUAAGCGCCCC